rnacentral:rRNA from 1 species
UACGGGGGGGGCUAGCGUUGUUCGGAAUUACUGGGCGUAAAGCGUACGUAGGCGGCUUUGUAAGUUAGAGGUGAAAGCCCGGGGCUCAACCCCGGAAUUGACCUUUAAGACUGCAUCGCUUGAAUCAUGGAGAGGUGAGUGGAAUUCCGAGUGUAGAGGUGAAAUUCGUAGAUAUUCGGAAGAACACCAGUGGCGAAGGCGACUCACUGGACAUGUAUUGACGCUGAGGUACGAAAGCGUGGGGAGCAAACAGGAGUUAGAA